rnacentral:lncRNA from 1 species
UACCAAGACAUUGGAACUAUGGGCUCAACUGCUGUACGAAAUAAGGAGCAUUUCACAUAUUAUUGUACUGGGGUCAUCUUCGAGAACAUCAAAGACAGAUAAACAGACAAACACAGAAGAAAAUCACUGCCCUACCUGUAGAAGAUAAUAUCGGAAUCUGUGACUAGAUUAUUGGGUUUGCUGAUUUCUAUGAUGGGCAUUUAUACAUAGGAAGAACUGACCCCAUCAAAAUCAGUGGUCAUUAAAAUGCUUUCUUCUAGACCAAAGAGCCUGGUUCAGAGGAGAAUUGCAAUUAUUGUCCUGAAAAGCCUGAUGGCUGGUCUUCACAAAAACAGAGCAGUCACUUUGAAGGAGAGAGAGCUCUUUAUUAUGCAGCUAAUAAAGGCUAUACCAGAUGUUCUAAGAGGCUCACCUAAACGACCUGAAGAGGAAGAAGGAUUCCUAUACCCUAUACUUCCAUAGUCUUAAAACAAUAGAAAAUGUCAGCUGACUAUUGUUUCCACGUCUGUAGGAAAGAGAAGAAUGUAUUACUAGAGGUGCCACAUUUCUUCCCCUCUCAUAAGAAAGUUUAAGGAAACAAAUAUUUUCUCCAAAUUAAUGUGUGCCUUUUUCAAUGCCAAAGACUUGGCUCUCCCAGACAUUGUUAUACAUUAUGUUUAGACUUCUAAAAUGAUCCACACAUAAACACUCAAAAAUAUAUUUUUGCUACUUUAGGGAUUAAGUUGGCUAGGGGCGCCUAGGGUGGGAACUAAUUAUGGAUUUCAAAAUUAUUUCUGGGGAAUGUCACCCAAGUUCCAAAAAGCAGACUAUUAAUACUUAGAAGAUAACCCACGUGGAAGUCGGGGACUAUUUCUAUCAGGUGUAAAGUCUGAAUGAUAUUAACUCAAACAUUUUAACAAGAUAGUUCAAUUUAUGGGUAACAAUACAAAAUAAAAUAACAGGUUGUGAAAAUAUAAUGAUGAAU